CAAGGCUUCCUGGCCCCAACCCACCUCCCGCCUCCAGGGCGCCGCUUAAAGUGUGCGGAGCAGGUGCCUUGGGUGGAGCCACAACUUUGCGCGAGUGUCUUGGUUGAGCGCAGCGCCCAUUCAUUGCCCGCGAGCGUCCAUCCAUCUGUCCGGCCCGCGGUCCAGCGAAAGGGGCUCCAGGCCGGACGCAGCAGCCAACCGGGGAACCCAGGCCAGGAAAGGGGCCGAGAACGCGGCUGAACCUUGCGGGCCGGGGCAGGGGACUGUGGCCGCGGCCAUGCAGUCCUGUGCCAGGGCGUGGGGGCUGCGCGUGGGCCGCGGGGUCGAGGGCGGCCGCCGCCUGGCUGGGGGAUCGGGGCCCUGCUGGGCGCCGCGGGGCCGGGACAGCAGCAGUGGCGGCGGGGACAGCGCCGCGGCUGGGGCCUCGCGCCUCCUGGAGCGCCUUCUGCCCAGACACGACGACUUCGCUCGGAGACACAUCGGCCCUGGGGACAAAGACCAGAGGGAGAUGCUGCAGACUUUGGGGCUGGCGAGCAUUGAUGAAUUGAUCGAGAAGACGGUUCCUGCCAACAUCCGUUUGAAAAGACCCUUGAAAAUGGAAGACCCUGUUUGUGAAAAUGAAAUCCUUGCAACUCUGCAUGCCAUUUCAAGCAAAAACCAGAUCUGGAGAUCAUAUAUUGGCAUGGGCUAUUAUAACUGCUCAGUGCCACAGACGAUUUUGCGGAACUUACUGGAGAACUCAGGAUGGAUCACCCAGUAUACUCCAUACCAGCCUGAGGUGUCUCAGGGGAGGCUGGAGAGUUUACUCAACUACCAGACCAUGGUGUGUGACAUCACAGGCCUGGACAUGGCCAAUGCAUCCCUGCUGGAUGAGGGGACUGCAGCCGCAGAGGCGCUGCAGCUGUGCCACAGACACAACAAGAGGAGGAAGUUCUUUGUUGACCCCCGUUGCCACCCACAGACAAUAGCUGUUGUCCAGACUCGAGCCAAAUACACUGGAGUCCUCACUGAGCUGAAGUUACCCUGUGAAAUGGACUUCAGUGGAAAAGAUGUCAGCGGAGUGUUGUUCCAGUACCCAGACACGGAAGGGAAGGUGGAAGACUUUACGGAACUCGUGGAGAGAGCUCAUCAGAGUGGGAGCCUGGCCUGCUGUGCUACUGACCUUUUAGCUCUGUGCAUCUUGAGGUCACCUGGAGAAUUUGGGGUAGACAUCGCCCUGGGCAGCUCACAGAGAUUUGGAGUGCCACUGGGCUAUGGGGGACCCCACGCAGCCUUUUUUGCUGUCCGAGAAAGCUUGGUGAGAAUGAUGCCUGGAAGAAUGGUGGGGGUGACAAGAGACACCACUGGGAAAGAAGUGUAUCGUCUUGCUCUUCAAACCAGGGAGCAACACAUCCGGAGAGACAAAGCUACCAGCAACAUCUGUACAGCUCAGGCCCUCUUGGCGAAUAUGGCUGCCAUGUUUGCAAUCUACCAUGGUUCCCAUGGGCUGGAGCAUAUUGCUAGGAGGGUACAUAAUGCCACUUUGAUUUUGUCGGAAGGUCUCAAGCGAGCAGGGCAUCAACUCCAGCAUGACCUGUUCUUUGAUACCUUGAAGAUUCAGUGUGGUUGCUCAGUGAAGGAGGUCUUGGGCAGGGCUGCUCAGCGGCAGAUCAAUUUUCGGCUCUUUAAGGAUGGCACGCUUGGUAUUUCUCUUGAUGAAACAGUCAAUGAAAAAGAUCUGGACGAUUUGUUGUGGAUCUUUGGUUGUGAGUCAUCGGCAGAACUGGUUGCUGAAAGCAUGGGAGAGGAGUGCAGAGGUAUUCCAGGGUCCGUGUUCAAGAGGACCAGCCCGUUCCUCACCCAUCAAGUGUUCAACAGUUACCACUCUGAAACAAAUAUUGUCCGGUAUAUGAAGAAACUGGAAAAUAAAGACAUUUCCCUUGUUCACAGCAUGAUUCCACUGGGAUCCUGCACCAUGAAACUGAACAGUUCGUCUGAACUCGCACCUAUCACAUGGAAAGAAUUUGCAAACAUCCACCCCUUUGUGCCUCUGGACCAAGCUCAAGGAUAUCAGCAGCUUUUCCGAGAGCUUGAGAAGGAUUUGUGUGAACUCACAGGUUAUGACCAGAUCUGUUUCCAGCCAAACAGCGGAGCCCAGGGAGAAUAUGCUGGACUGGCCACUAUCCGAGCCUACUUAGACCAGAAAGGAGAGGGGCACAGAACGGUUUGCCUCAUUCCGAAAUCAGCACAUGGGACCAACCCAGCAAGUGCCCACAUGGCAGGCAUGAAGAUUCAGCCUGUGGAGGUGGAUAAAUAUGGGAAUAUUGAUGCAGUUCACCUCAAGGCCAUGGUGGAUAAGCACAAGGAGAACCUAGCAGCCAUCAUGAUUACAUACCCAUCCACCAAUGGGGUGUUUGAAGAGAACAUCAGUGACGUGUGUGACCUCAUCCAUCAACAUGGAGGACAGGUCUACCUAGACGGGGCAAAUAUGAAUGCUCAGGUGGGAAUCUGUCGCCCUGGAGACUUUGGGUCUGAUGUCUCACACCUAAAUCUUCACAAGACCUUCUGCAUUCCCCACGGAGGAGGUGGUCCUGGCAUGGGGCCCAUCGGAGUGAAGAAACAUCUUGCCCCGUUUUUGCCCAAUCAUCCCAUCAUUUCACUGAAGCGGAAUGAGGAUGCCUGCCCUGUGGGAACCGUCAGCGCGGCCCCCUGGGGCUCCAGUUCCAUUUUGCCCAUUUCCUGGGCUUAUAUCAAGAUGAUGGGAGGCAAGGGCCUUAAACAGGCCACGGAAACUGCGAUAUUAAAUGCCAACUACAUGGCCAAGCGAUUAGAAAAACACUACAGAAUUCUUUUCAGGGGUGCGAGAGGUUAUGUGGGUCAUGAAUUUAUUUUGGACACGAGACCCUUCAAAAAGUCUGCAAAUAUUGAGGCUGUGGAUGUGGCCAAGAGACUCCAGGAUUAUGGAUUUCACGCCCCUACCAUGUCCUGGCCUGUGGCAGGGACCCUCAUGGUUGAGCCCACUGAGUCGGAGGACAAGGCAGAGCUGGACAGAUUCUGUGAUGCCAUGAUCAGCAUUCGGCAGGAAAUUGCUGACAUUGAGGAGGGCCGCAUCGACCCCAGGGUCAAUCCGCUGAAGGUGCGUAGGCCCUGGAACUUUGCUUGAAAUGUUCCUUAAACUAGAAAAUGAUGUCUGGACAGUGUACCAGCACCUCCUGAACUCUCAACUGAGGAUGAUACUCUUCCCUAGAAUAAGAUGUCUCCACACUCUCUGACCUGCGUUACCUCCUCCCACUGGGACCGGCCUUAUUCCAGAGAGGUGGCAGCGUUCCCACUCCCCUUCGUGAAACCAGAGAACAAAUUCUGGCCAACAAUUGCCCGGAUUGAUGACAUAUAUGGAGAUCAGCACCUGGUUUGUACCUGCCCACCCAUGGAAGUUUAUGAGUCUCCAUUUUCUGAACAAAAGAGGGCCUCUUCUUAGUCCUAAGUUUAAGGGACUGAUUUGAUGCCGCUCCCCAGAUCAUUUGAUAAGCAAGAAAGAUUUCAUCUCCCACCCCAGCCUCAAGUAGGAGUUUUAUAUACUGUGUAUAUCUCUGUAAUCUCUGUCAAGGUAAAUGUAAAUACAGUAGCUGGAGGGAAUCGAAGCUGCUGGUUGGAAGAUGGAUUUGCUUUGGUAUUCUGCUUCCACAUGUGCCAGCUGCCUGGAUUGGGAGCCACUUUGUUUUUUGCAUAGAAAGUUUUAGGAAUUUUAACUUUUAAUGUGGCAAGUUUGCAGACAUCAUAGAGGCUAGCCUGGAGACUUAAUAGACAUAUAUUUGUUCCAAAAAAGUCCGCAUGGACUGUGCCAUCUGUGGGAAAUCCCAGGGCAAAUGUUUACAUUUUGUAUACCCUGAAGAACUCUUUUUCUCCUAAUAUGCCUAAUCUGUAAUCACAUUUCUGAGUGUUUUCCUCUUUUUCUGUGUGAGUUUUUUUUUUUAUCUGCAUUUAUUAGUAUUCUAAUAAAAGCAUUUUGAUUGGAA